rnacentral:rRNA from 1 species
AUUGAACGCUGGCGGCAUGCCUUACACAUGCAAGUCGAACGGCAGCACGGGAGCAAUCCUGGUGGCGAGUGGCGAACGGGUGAGUAAUAUAUCGGAACGUGCCCAGUAGUGGGGGAUAACUGCUCGAAAGAGCAGCUAAUACCGCAUACGACCUGAGGGUGAAAGGGGGGGAUCGCAAGACCUCUCGCUAUUGGAGCGGCCGAUAUCAGAUUAGCUAGUUGGUGGGGUAAAGGCCUACCAAGGCAACGAUCUGUAGUUGGUCUGAGAGGAGGACCAGCCACACUGGGACUGAGACACGGCCCAGACUCCUACGGGCGGCAGCAGUGGGGAAUUUUGGACAAUGGGCGCAAGCCUGAUCCAGCAAUGCCGCGUGCAGGAAGAAGGCCUUCGGGUUGUAAACUGCUUUUGUCAGGGAAGAAAUCCUCUAGGUUAAUACCCUUGGGGGGAUGACGGUACCUGAAGAAUAAGCACCGGCUAACUACGUGCCAGCCGCCGCGGUAAUAC